UAUCUUACAGAAAAAUGAAUUUUCCAUGGAAGUUAUCUAUAUACUUCAGUAAGUGCUUUAGAGCAAUUAGAAUAAAUGGCAUAUGGUACAGCUUUAAUAUUUUUAUAAUAUGUUAAUGAUUAACUGACUUCCUACAUCUUUGUUGACUUAGUGGGAGAGUGACAAGGAACUGUGAGGUACCUAUUUGGUAGCGUAACAAGUCGGGACAAUUUGCACGGGCAUUUUUUUCCACCUCCCUUCUGGAACUUGCUUCAUCCAGCUGACACUGCUUCAAAGCCUUAGGCAGCUCUCAGACUCACAGAAGAAAUCAGUCCUAUCGGAGACACACAGAUGAACCAGGAAGCCAAAAUGAUAGAACUGCAGAUGUUGCUGUAUUUGGCUGGUGUCAAGAACCACUCUGUCCCAUCAUCUUACCACUGGCAUCAGCUUUGGGACUGAAUGCCUCUUUCUCUUCACGUGGUGACCGUGUCUGCGAUAGAGCAGAAGACCUCUG
rnacentral:lncRNA from 1 species